rnacentral:sRNA from 1 species
GCCAGGUGUGGUGGCUCACGCCUGUAAUCCCAAUGGCUCAGGAGGCUGAGGCAGGAGGAUCAUGAGUUCAAAGCCAGCCUCAGCAAUUUAGCAAGGCCCUGAGAAACUCAAUGAGACCCUGUCUCUA